ACCUUCGGGUGUGUAUAGAGUGGCGAACGGGUGAGUAACACGUGACCAACCUGCCUCUUACAUUGGGACAACCAAAAGAAAUUCUGGCUAAUACCAAAUACUCCGCACAUAUCACAUGAUGUAUGCGGGAAAGCUUUUGCGGUAAGAGAUGGGGUCGCGGCCCAUUAGGUAGACGGCGGGGUAGAAGCCCACCGUGCCGAUGAUGGGUAGCCGGGUUGAGUGACCGACCGGCCACAUUGGGACUGAGAUACGGCCCAGACUCCUACGGGAGGCAGCAGUGGGGAAUAUUGCGCAAUGGGGGAAACCCUGACGCAGCAACGCCGCGUGCGGGAUGAAGGCCUUCGGGUUGUAAACCGCUUUCAGCAGGGAAGACAUCGACGGUACCUGCAGAAGAAGCCCCGGCUAACUACGUGCCAGCAGCCGCGGUAAUACGUAGGGGGCGAGCGUUAUCCGGAUUCAUUGGGCGUAAAGCGCGCGCAGGCGGUUGCUCAAGCGGAACCUCUAAUCUCGGGGCUUAACCUCGAGCCGGGUUCCGAACUGGACGACUCGAGUGCGGUAGAGGCAGAUGGAAAUCCCGGUGUAGCGGUGGAAUGCGCAGAUAUCGGGAAGAACACCAACGGCGAAGGCAGUCUGCUGGGCCGUCACUGACGCUGAGGCGCGAAAGCUGGGGGAGCGAACAGGAUUAGAUACCCUGGUAGUCCCAGCCGUAAACGAUGAGCGCUGGGUGUGGGAGAUUACAUCUUCCGUGCCGAAGCUAACGCAUUAAGCGCUCCGCCUGGGGAGUACGGCCGCAAGGCUAAAACUCA
rnacentral:rRNA from 1 species